UGCUUACCUCAGGGAAAGCAGGCAGGGAGAGAGCGCUGGGCAGGUUCUCACAGUCCUUUUCCAUUGCCU
rnacentral:miRNA from 1 species